rnacentral:tRNA from 1 species
UCCCAGGUGGCUUAGUUGGUAAAGAAUCUGCCUGCAAUGUGGGAGACCUGGGUUUGAUCCUGGCUUGGGAA